CCUACGGGUGGCAGCAGUGGGGAAUAUUGCACAAUGGGGGAAACCCUGAUGCAGCGACGCCGCGGGAGGGAAGAAGGAGUUCGGUAUGUAAAGCUCUAACAGCAGGGAAGAAAAUGACGGUACCUGAGUAAGAAGCCCCGGCUAACUACGUGCCAGCAGCCGCGGUAAUACGUAGGGGGCAAGCGUUAUCCGGAUUUACUGGGUGUAAAGGGAGCGUAGACGGCAGCACAAGUCUGGAGUGAAAUGCCGGGGCUUAACCCCGGAACUGCUUUGGAAACUGUGCAGCUAGAGUGCAGGAGAGGUAAGUGGAAUUCCUAGUGUAGCGGUGAAAUGCGUAGAUAUUAGGAGGAACCCCAGUGGCGAAGGCGGCUUACUGGACUGUAACUGACGUUGAGGCUCGAAAGCGUGGGGAGCAAACAGGAUUAGAUACCCCUGUAGUC
rnacentral:rRNA from 1 species